rnacentral:rRNA from 1 species
UACGUAGGGGGCGAGCGUUGUCCGGAAUGAUUGGGCGUAAAGGGCGCGUAGGCGGCCUGUUAAGUCCGGAGUGAAAUUCCUGCUUUCAAGGUAGGAAGUGCUUUGGAAACUGGCGGGCUGGAGUGCAGGAGAGGUUAGCGGAAUUCCCGGUGUAGCGGUGAAAUGCGUAGAGAUCGGGAGGAACACCAGUGGCGAAGGCGGCUAACUGGACUGUAACUGACGCUGAGGCGCGAAAGUGUGGGGAGCAAACAGGAUUAGAAACCCUAGUAGUCC